rnacentral:rRNA from 1 species
GACGAACGCUGCGGCGUGCUUAACACAUGCAAGUCGAACGGUAAGGCCCUUCGGGGUACACGAGUGGCGAACGGGUGAGUAACACGUGGGUGAUCUGCCCUGCACUUCGGGAUAAGCCUGGGAAACUGGGUCUAAUACCGGAUAGGACUCCGGACUGCAUGGUCUGGGGUGGAAAGCUUUUGCGGUGUGGGAUGGGCCCGCGGCCUAUCAGCUUGUUGGUGGGGUGAUGGCCUACCAAGGCGACGACGGGUAGCCGGCCUGAGAGGGUGACCGGCCACACUGGGACUGAGAUACGGCCCAGACUCCUACGGGAGGCAGCAGUGGGGAAUAUUGCACAAUGGGCGCAAGCCUGGUGCAGCGACGCCGCGUGAGGGAUGACGGCCUUCGGGUUGUAAACCUCUUUCAGCAUCGACGAAGCGAAAGUGACGGUAGGUGCAGAAGAAGGACCGGCCAACUACGUGCCAGCCGCCGCGGUAA